UACGUAGGGUGCGAGCGUUGUCCGGAAUUACUGGGCGUAAAGAGCUUGUAGGCGGUCUGUCACGUCGAUUGUGAAAACUUGCAGCUCAACUGCAAGCUUGCAGUCGAUACGGGCAGACUAGAGUACUUCAGGGGAGACUGGAAUUCCUGGUGUAGCGGUGAAAUGCGCAGAUAUCAGGAGGAACACCGGUGGCGAAGGCGGGUCUCUGGGAAGUAACUGACGCUGAGAAGCGAAAGCGUGGGUAGCGAACAGG
rnacentral:rRNA from 2 species